GUCCUGGGAACUUUGCUUGCUUAGGCUGUACUGCUUGCUUGUGCUUACUACUUGCUACAUGCUUGUGUACUUGCUUUACCUACCGGACUUUGUAUCGAACCCUGAUGACCACGCACCUACCUCGCCUUGCCGCGCUGAUUAUUGAUUUGACCACGUCACCUACUAUGUGUGCAAGGGGCGUGGCGUGCGGGCUUACAGCGGAACGGGGUGUGCCAGGACCGGACUCGAAGUCAGCGACAGGUGCGUGGAUGGCCAAGGUGGGCCUUGUUAUCUAAUCACCUGUCACUCUGUAUAAGCAGCAAACAGGAGGCGAGACGUCGUUGGAGCUGGCGUGAGAGCGAGAGCGGGCCUGUCACUGGCACAAAAGACAAUUGCUGGAAAGCAACCCACAGACUUUAUCGAAAAAUAAAACUGUAUUGAACCUGAA